UCGGCUAUUGAUCCUGAUCAAGAAUAUAUAUACUUUAUAUGGUCGGAAACGCUUCCUUCUGCCUGUUACAUACUUUUCAACGAAUCUAGUAUACCCUUUUACUCUACGAGUAACGGGUAUAAUUAUGUGGGUUAAAGGGUCGGGGACGAGCAAAAGGAAAAUAACAAUAAGACAACGAAAUAGAUAAACGGGUUUCUUUUCUAAAAGGCACGCGGCCUAUUUCUUGCGGCUAAAUUUUUUGGGAGAAGCAGACGCGUUUUUUAUUGAGUGCCAAGUAUUAAGAAAAUGAUAAUGGAUGCAUUUCAUGAGUAAUAACAAAUACAACUUACAAAAGUGUUCAUUUAAGGUAAAUUGUUUUAAGACAUCUACUAAUAUUCAUUAUUUUAAGGUUAAUCGAACAUGUAGUCCCAUUUUCCAAAGCUACUGAAACGAAGCUGGCCCGAACUCCGUGAACAACAAGACGUACAAGACUCUGCAAUUUUAUAGACAUUCUAUAUGUGUUCUUGGUUACACUUAAAUCCUAUGCAUAUUUAAAUAAUAAGUUACAUUAAAAUAAA